ACGUAAUAGAUACCCGGGUAGUCCACGCCCUAAACGAUGUCUACUAGUUGUGGUGGAGUAAAUCCAUGAGUAAACGCAGCUAAACGCGUGAAGUAGACCGCCUGGGGAGUACGGUCGCAAGAUUAAACUCAAAGGAUUGACGGGGCCCGCGACAAGCGGUGGAUUAUGUGGAUUAAUUCGAUGCAACGCGAAAAACCUUACCUGGCCUUGACAUGCCACUAACGAAGCAGAGAUGCAUUAGGUGCCCGUAAGGGAAAGUGGACUACAGGUGCUGCAUGGCUGUCGUCAGCUCGUGUCGUGAGAUGUUGGGUUAAGUCCCGC
rnacentral:rRNA from 1 species